UUUAAAAUUAAACCAAACACACCGAAGCUUCAGCUUCAAGCUUCGGAACUUCGAGAAAAAUGGAAAAGAAGGAAACUGCCGGCGAUGCCGAUCGUCCAUGGCAGUCUUACCACACUGUCUACACCAAUGCAAAAGCCGGUCAUAGGUGUUGUUUUUAAUAUCUUGGCCAUCAUUUAGAAGACUGGCAGCGGACUAAUAUUGCUUGGUGAUCAGGAAAAUGAAUCUACCAUUGUUUAAUUCUUUGACCAGAUCAUUAGAAGCUGACCUUGCGGAGAUGCUGUCAAUGGACAUGGAAAAAGAAGGUCUAACUGGGCGGACACUGACUAAACUGAAAACUGCAUCCUUUGAGGUACAUUAUUUGCCCUGAAUCCUGUUAAAUCUGUUUAGAUUGGAUAGAGAAGAAAUUCCAUAUGUGUAAUAUGUUGAGAUUUCAAUAACCACUCAUUCAGAUGUGUGAUUUCUAUUAACUGCUACUUUCUUCCCGUAGAAGAAAUUAAUUUUAAGCUUAUAAUCACUACUUUCAUCUAUAUGUUUCUUUGUUUUGUUUUCUCGCCAUCGAAAGGUUAUAUCUAAAUUAAAAUUUGAAAACUUGAAAAACUAAUCUAUCAACUUUGUUUUUUUGUUUUUGAAUUUUUCAUAAGAUUUCAAAUGUGUUUUUAAAGAAAGUGAAGUAGACAAAAUUGUUAGAAAAGAAGCAUACAUUUUAAAACACAACUAAAGAAGUUGUUAUCAAAUGGAGCUUUAGAGUUCAUUUUUCACUAGCGUUGAUAUCACGUGCUUGGUUUUCUAUGUUCUAAUAUGCACAAAAUGUGAUCCACUGUAUGUCUCACAUAUGGUGAAGUAAACUUUGAAAUCCUUUGAUCUUGCAACUUACAACUUACAACAUUUAGUUUGGAAAGAGAUUUCUAACAUCUCCAGGGCUGCGGAUAUCUCAUUUCAAUGAAGAUGGAGCCAUUGCUGGGUCUGAUCCAACCCAAAGAUCUAUUACUAGAUUUAUGGGGAUCUUACUAGAAAAAGUAUGGAUGGUUGUUGCUCCUUGAAUCCCGAUUCUGACAAUCAUGGUUUCAUGGAUGACACUGAAAUUGAUGUAUGCAUCAAUAGUACUGAUUCUGAAACACACCAUCAAGAUAGUACUGAGGAAAGAAUCAACAACAAUUUCUCGAAUACGGAUGAGAGCGACUGUAUGUCCAACAAUGAUACUGAGAAGUCGGAAAAACUUGAGAAUCUUUUGAGCAACACAGCACUGAUCAGGCAAACAUUUUUAAUGCCAUGGGAAGCACCCCAGAUUCCUCGGACGCCUUAAUCCCUCGAGCCUUGAGCACAGCAUGUGCUUCAUCUAGAAACCUUGAGGGCAAUCCCAAUAAAUGUAGAUACCGAAAGUCGGGUUGAGGUAAGGUCACCAGAUAACAAUGGAAAGAUUUGGUGGAUAGAUGACUAUAAAUGAACAAUCUGUGGUACUGGAGUGCCAGCGAGUUUUGUUGACGAAAGAAAAGAGCACAUAGAUUUCCACGUUGCAGAAAAUCUUCAAGGAGAGGAAUCUGGCAUUCGUUCAAGAACCCUUUCGCCAAGGCAAAGGACUACUGACAAGAACCUACUGUCAAGUCAAGUACAAAAGAAAAAGUCAACUCCAAAGAAAGAGGCCAAACAUAUUCCAAUUGACUUAUUCUGUGUGAAGAGUAAUCAGAAGUUUUAAUAAUUAAUAUUAUUACAUUUUAUCGUUGUAUAUAUUUGUCCAUACUUUUUUUCAGACAAAAGCAAUUGAGAAACAGCGAACCAAAAACUACACCCUCACCUCCUCAUUAUGGAUAAGAUGGAGAAUAUAAGCAACAAAGACAUUUUCAAAGAAACGAGGAUGCCAAAACUGCAAUAGUGUGAGCGGUUUGGUUUUAUUCUCCUUUUUGGGAUGUGACAAAAACAGGAAUUAUUAAUUGAGUUAGCUAUAAAAAGAAUGUUCUCGAUGAGAAUCCUGAUAUCAAUUACAGAGUUAUCCUUUCUGUUCAAAAGAUUGAUGACUUCCAAUGCAUCAGAUUCCACCUCCAACGGCGCUCACGCUCGAUUGCGAUCAGACCUCUUGGGACAUUAUUCAUUGUUUUUUAAAGUUAGUUCAUCAUUCCAUUUGUCUCAUGCAACAUCAUAAGUUUGUACAUUAUUGUAUAGCAAUAAUUAUUCUCUGGAUUGUGGCAAAGAAGCUGGCCGAGUGCCUGCCCUAAUGACAAAUGACAAUUUUCUUUUUUUG